rnacentral:rRNA from 1 species
GACGAACCGUGCGAACGUUAUUCGGAAUCACUGGGCUUAAAGGGCGCGUAGGCGGGUCCUCAAGUCAGGGGUGAAAUCCCACGGCCCAACCGUGGAAGUGCCUUUGAUACUGAGGACCUCGAGGGGGAUAGGGGCGUGCGGAACUCAGGGUGGAGCGGUGAAAUGCGUAGAUAUCGGAAGGAACGCCGGUGGCGAAAGCGACGGACUGGAUCUCUUCUGACGCUGAGGCGCGAAAGCCAGGGGAGCAAACGGG